rnacentral:rRNA from 1 species
AGUCUCAGUUCGGAUUGGAGUCUGCAACCCGACUCCAUGAAGCUGGAUUCGCUAGUAAUCGCGCAUCAGCCACGGCGCGGUGAAUACGUUCCCGGGCCUUGUACACACCGCCCGUCAAGCCAUGGAAGCCGGGAGUGCCUGAAGUACGCGACCGCAAGGAGCGUCCUAAGGUAAAACCGGUGACUGGGGCUAAGUCGUAACAAGGUAUC